GACGAACGCUGGCGGCGUGCUUAACACAUGCAAGUCGAACGGAAAGGCCCUGCUUUUGUGGGGUGCUCGAGUGGCGAACGGGUGAGUAACACGUGAGUAACCUGCCCUUGACUUUGGGAUAACUUCAGGAAACUGGGGCUAAUACCGGAUAGGAGCUCCUGCUGCAUGGUGGGGGUUGGAAAGUUUCGGCGGUUGGGGAUGGACUCGCGGCUUAUCAGCUUGUUGGUGGGGUAGCGGCUUACCAAGGCUUUGACGGGUAGCCGGCCUGAGAGGGUGACCGGCCACAUUGGGACUGAGAUACGGCCCAGACUCCUACGGGAGGCAGCAGUGGGGAAUAUUGCACAAUGGGCGGAAGCCUGACGCAGCAACGCCGCGUGCGGGAUGACGGCCUUCGGGUUGUAAACCGCUUUCGCCUGUGACGAAGCGUGAGUGACGGUAAUGGGUAAAGAAGCACCGGCUAACUACGUG
rnacentral:rRNA from 1 species